rnacentral:rRNA from 1 species
AACGAACGCUGGCGGCAGGCUUAACACAUGCAAGUCGAGCGCCCCGCAAGGGGAGCGGCAGACGGGUGAGUAACGCGUGGGAAUCUACCUUGAACUACGGGAUAGCUCCGGGAAACUGGAAUUAAUACCGUAUGUGCCCUUCGGGGGAAAGAUUGAUCGGUUCAGGAUGAGCCCGCGUCGGAUUAGCUAGUUGGUGGGGUAAAGGCCUACCAAGGCGACGAUCCGUAGCUGGUCUAAGAGGAUGAUCAGCCACAUUGGGACUGAGACACGGCCCAAACUCCUACGGGAGGCAGCAGUGGGGAAUAUUGGACAAUGGGCGCAAGCCUGAUCCAGCCAUGCCGCGUGAGUGAUGAAGGCCCUAGGGUUGUAAAGCUCUUUCACCAGGGACGAUAAUGACGGUACCCGGAGAAGAAGCCCCGGCUAACUUCGUGCCAGCCGCCGCGGUAA